GGAAGUGUGCCAGAGAGGUUGAAUGGGGCGCUCUCGAAAAGCGUUAGCUUCGCAAGAGGCUCGGAGGUUCGAAUCCUCCCACUUCCGCCA
rnacentral:tRNA from 1 species